rnacentral:rRNA from 1 species
AACACGUGGGGAACCUGCCCCAUAGUCUGGGAUACCACUUGGAAACAGGUGCUAAUACCGGAUAAGAAAGCGGAUCGCAUGAUCAGCUUUUAGAAGGCGGCGUAAGCUGUCGCUAUGGGAUGGCCCCGCGGUGCAUUAGCUAGUUGGUAAGGUAAAGGCUUACCAAGGCGAUGAUGCAUAGCCGAGUUGAGAGACUGAUCGGCCACAUUGGGACUGAGACACGGCCCAAACUCCUACGGGAGGCAGCAGGG